CAGAAGUACGGAAGGCUGAAGUCCCUUGGGCACAGCCUGGAAUUACAGAGCGUCCAAUCUUCAUGGGUGUUUCCAGCAAAGACGAUGCCCCAUUCCUGUCCUUCCCUUCCCUCAGUGACAUUCAGGAGAAGAGAAGUUCCAAAGGCAGAACAUGGGCUGCUGGAUGUGUAUUAGUGUCUCCAGGGAGGGGCCUGGCCCAGCUCUGAGGAAUGAUAGCCAGAUCCAUGUGCUCUCCCGGAGCUGGCACACAUACAUGACCCAGCCAUGCUACUGGGAGACAUGACUGCCCUUCUCCUGGAGGUACUUUCCCCACCAGUCAACUACAGCUCCAGGACCAUGCCCUAAUCUACUUUGGCACUUUAAAAUCAGCUAGUUUAGCCCAAACUAAAUGAAGCGACAUGGUGGAUGAGCAGGUGAGAUAGGAAGAAGGCAACCAAGUAACAUCUAUAUUAAGGAAAGAGAGGAGGGGGCAAAAAUGUAGCCCCUCUCCAAGUCACUGACACUGUGAGACUGUCACUCUUGCUGUUAGAGGUGGAAAGCCUUAAAAACUUCCAUUUCACAAUUCUUACCUUCAGCUGCUUCAUUUUACAUUGUACAUGUAGUUAUAUUGAAGAGCUUCUGCUUGUGUGUGAUAAGCUCAGCUUGGGCUUGAGAACAAAGAGCUUCUGAGAACAAGAAUUAAAAAUGCUCUGACAGAGCAAAAAAGAUAAUCUUUAAUCCACUCCUUCAGAUGUAUAUGUCUAAGUGGUAGACACAUCUUGUUCUUUCACUGUUGUGGAAGAGGAAGAGAAUUUGUGCAGCGUGUUUGUACAUUUUGCCCCUGUUGGAGAGAUGGGAUGUUAUGAAUCUAUGUCAGAAAAAAUUUCUUUUGUGUGAA